rnacentral:tRNA from 1 species
GGUGGGUUGGCUCGAUGGUUAGAGCGUAGGUCUUGUAACCGAAAGUUUGCGGGAUCGAAUCCCGGUUUUUUCA